GGACGAACGCUGGCGGCGUGCCUAAUACAUGCAAGUCGAGCGGAUCGAUGGGAGCUUGCUCCCUGAGAUCAGCGGCGGACGGGUGAGUAACACGUGGGUAACCUGCCUGUAAGACUGGGAUAACUCCGGGAAACCGGGGCUAAUACCGGAUAACACCUACCCCCGCAUGGGGGAAGGUUGAAAGGUGGCUUCGGCUAUCACUUACAGAUGGACCCGCGGCGCAUUAGCUAGUUGGUGAGGUAAUGGCUCACCAAGGCGACGAUGCGUAGCCGACCUGAGAGGGUGAUCGGCCACACUGGGACUGAGACACGGCCCAGACUCCUACGGGAGGCAGCAGUAGGGAAUCUUCCGCAAUGGACGAAAGUCUGACGGAGCAACGCCGCGUGAGUGAAGAAGGUUUUCGGAUCGUAAAACUCUGUUGUUAGGGAAGAACAAGUGCCGUUCGAAUAGGGCGGCGCCUUGACGGUACCUAACCAGAAAGCCACGGCUAACUAC
rnacentral:rRNA from 1 species